UACAGAGGUCUCAAGCGUUGUUCGGAUUCAUUGGGCGUAAAGGGUGCGUAGGCGGCGCGGUAAGUCGGGUGUGAAAUCUCGGGGCUUAACUCCGAAACUGCAUUCGAUACUGCCGUGCUUGAGGACUGGAGAGGAGACUGGAAUUUACGGUGUAGCGGUGAAAUGCGUAGAUAUCAGGAAGAACACCAAUGGCGAAAGCAGCUCUCUGGGACGGUACUGACGCUGAGACGCGAAAGCGUGGGGGAGCGAACAGG
rnacentral:rRNA from 1 species